AGUAAAUUGGUUAAGUUAGAAAGGGCGCACGGUGGAUGCCUUGGCACUAGGAGCCGAAGAAGGACGGGACUAACACCGAUAUGCUUUGGGGAGCUGUACGUAAGCGUUGAUCCAGAGAUUUCCGAAU
rnacentral:rRNA from 1 species